ACAGAGGGUGCGAGCGUUAAUCGGAAUUACUGGGCGUAAAGCGCACGUAGGUGGCGACGUAUGUCGGUUGUGAAAGCCCCGGGCUCAACCUGGGAAUUGCAUCCGAAACUGCGUUGCUGGAGUACGGAAGAGGAAGGCGGAAUUCCCGGUGUAGCGGUGAAAUGCGUAGAUAUCGAGAGGAACACCUGCGGCGAAGGCGGGUUGCUGGGCUGACACUGACGCUGAGGCGCGAAAGCUAGGGGAGCGAACGGGA
rnacentral:rRNA from 1 species